rnacentral:rRNA from 1 species
AGCCCGCACAAGCGGAGGAGCAUGUGGUUUAAUUCGAUGAUACGCGAGGAACCUUACCUGGGCUCGAACGUAAGAUGACUGUAGGUGAAAGCUUACAUCUCUUCGGAGCAUUUUACGAGGUGCUGCAUGGUUGUCGUCAGCUCGUGCCGUGAGGUGUCGGGUUAAGUCCCAUAACGAGCGCAACCCCUACCUUUAGUUGCCAUCAGGUUAAGCUGGGGACUCUAAAGGAACUGCCUACGCAAGUAGUGAGGAAGGCGGGGAUGACGUCAAAUCAGCACGGCCCUUACGUCCAGGGCUACACACGUGCUACAAUGGCCGAUACAGAGGGCAGCUACCUGGUGACAGGAUGCAAAUCUCCAAAGUCGGUCUCAGUUCGGAUCGGAGUCUGCAACCCGACUCCGUGAAGUUGGAUUCGCUAGUAAUCGCGCAUCAGCCAUGGCGCGGUGAAUACGUUCCCGGGCCUU